GAUGAACGCUGGCGGCGUGCCUAAUACAUGCAAGUCGAGCGAACGGACGAGAAGCUUGCUUUUCUGAUGUUAGCGGCGGACGGGUGAGUAACACGUGGAUAACCUACCUAUAAGACUGGGAUAACUUCGGGAAACCGGAGCUAAUACCGGAUAAUAUUUUGAACCGCAUGGUUCAAAAGUGAAAGACGGUCUUGCUGUAACUUAUAGAUGGAUCCGCGCUGCAUUAGCUAGUUGGUAAGGUAACGGCUUACCAAGGCAACGAUGCAUAGCCGACCUGAGAGGGUGAUCGGCCACACUGGAACUGAGACACGGUCCAGGCUCCUACGGGAGGCAGCAGUAGGGAAUCUUCCGCAAUGGGCGAAAGCCUGACGGAGCAACGCCGCGUGAGUGAUGAAGGUCUUCGGAUCGUAAAACUCUGUUAUUAGGGAAGAACAUAUGUGUAAGUAACUGUGCACAUCUUGACGGUACCUAAUCAGAAAGCCACGGCUAACUACGUG
rnacentral:rRNA from 1 species